GUUCCUACGGGACGCAGCAGUCGGGAAUAUUGCGCAAUGGAGGAAACUCUGACGCAGUGACGCCGCGUAUAGGAAGAAGGUUUUCGGAUUGUAAACUAUUGUCGUGAGGGAAGAAAUUGACAGUACCUCAGGAGGAAGCUCCGGCUAACUAUGUGCCAGCAGCCGCGGUAAUACAUAGGGAGCAAGCGUUAUCCGGAUUUAUUGGGUGUAAAGGGUGCGUAGACGGGAAAUUAAGUCUGAAGUGAAAGGUACGGGCUUAACCUGUACAGGCUUUGGAAACUGGCAUGCUAGAGGACAGGAGAGGG
rnacentral:rRNA from 1 species